rnacentral:rRNA from 1 species
AAUCAACGCUGGCGGCGCGCUUAACACAUGCAAGUCGAACGAGAAAGUGGAGCAAUCCAUGAGUAAAGUGGCGCACGGGUGAGUAACACGUGGGUAAUCUGCCUCUGGGUGGGGAAUAACUCUGGGAAACCGGAGCUAAUACCGCAUAAGCCUGAAAGGGGAAAGGCGAAAGUCGCCGAGAGAGGAGCCCGCGGUCGAUUAGCUAGUUGGUGGGGUAAAGGCCUACCAAGGCAGUGAUCGAUAGCCGGCCUGAGAGGGCACACGGCCACACUGGCACUGAAACACGGGCCAGACUCCUACGGGGAGGCAGCAGUGGGGAAUCUUGCACAAUGGGGAAGCCUAGCAUGCAGCGACGCCGCGUGAGCGAUGAA